rnacentral:lncRNA from 1 species
CCAGAUAUGACAAAAUUGUGCAACUUCAAUAUCAUUUAAUCAUGUAUGACAAAUGUUCCUGGUUUUACCCAAAUAUAUACAUAAAAUACCUAUGUAUGUGGAUAUUGGCCUAAUAUGCAUAUUUAUGUAACACAAUCAUAUGAAUGAUCUCUGUUAUGUGUGUUGAUAUGUAUAUACAGUGAGUGAAUGUCCACAAAAGUCCGUCAGAAAAGUAGCCUAGGCUUAUACAGUGUAGAAGGAAAUUGAACUUUAGCUAAAAAGUACAUACUUGUCUGUUUGAAUAAAAUGUAUUUAUAUGGUCAAUUCUAAAGCCAGAAGUCAAUGUAGGAACACUAUGAUUAUGGUUCGAACAUCUGUUUGUUGUUUAUUUCAUGGACCAUCAUUGCUUACAUAACCCCCCCUCCGCCUAUCAAUUUGCCUUAAUGUGACAUGGAGUAAACCCGGUUGUUGGGAUAAAUCAAUGUAAGCCAUGGCCAGACAUGAGCUCCUCUAUUGCAUUAGCUAGGAAACCAGAAAAGACAGCUGUCUCAAUAAUACAGGAAACAUACUGUAUAUCUGGCUUCGCUGUUGGAUUUGCUCCGUCUGCCAAAUAUCAGAUACAUGUUGUUAGUUGUAUCCAAGGGGCCACUGGAGAUGCACGUGGCUACAGAGUAAUUGUUUGGACUGGUCGGAUGUAAGAGAAAUAUGUAGCUCUAACCAAUGCAUGAAGAAUCAUCUUUACUGUCAAUUGGAUCUUUGUUUCUCAUAAUGACCAUGAAGAAGUCAAGGAAAGACCCCUCUGUCUGAUUUAAGUUCCACUCAAGUGAGGUCUGAAAGAGAGAAACUGUCCAAUAUGACAACCCCUCUCUUUCCACAUAGUCUGCACUACUAUUACAUUGAGUUGGAAGUCAAACUUAUUCAAGGACUGUAAUUGUCCCGACACCAGACUUAUACAGUACAUCUUCCAAAUAGGCUCUGUAAAUGCACAGGCUACACUCAACUUUUAUGCAUUACUACGAUGCAAAGGGUAAAUAGCAGUAAAGGGACACAUUAAUUUGCUUUUGUAUACUUGGAUCCACAUACUAUUUUUUUUCCCAGAGCCCUACCACAAAACCCUUGAAAGCUCUUGAUCGAAAAUCUAAAAGAGUUGUGUCGGCAAAGAACAAUAUUAUGGGAUUUCAGCCAAUACGCGUGUACUGAAAAAUAAUACGCUUGGGAACUUAUAGCAGCUUCGAGGCCGCUUUCCUAUCGAAUACCGACAGGCAACAGUUGCUAAUUCUGUUCAACAUCAACACAGUUUCUCAGCAACGACAGAAAUAAACUGGUUUUCCGUUCAUUGAGGUGUGCACUCCAGGGUCAGUCAGCGCAAACUGGAGGUUGUGCCAAAACGAUUUGUCUUAGCAGCCCCAUCAAUGUUGUUGGUAUGGCCGCUAUACAAUAGCAGGUGCACGGUUGCAUUAAAUCAACGGAGGGCAAUGGACAGAAAAAUCUGAACUGUACCCAAUGACUCUGACCGGCCCUGUGCUAAGAAGGAGAAAUUGUUUUAUUUUCUUGUAAGAGC